UGGGGAAUAUUGGACAAUGGGCGCAAGCCUGAUCCAGCAAUGCCGCGUGGGUGAAGAAGGCCUUCGGGUUGUAAAGCCCUUUUGUACGGGAAGAAAUCCCAUUGGAUAAUACCUGAUGGGGAUGACGGUACCGUAAGAAUAAGCACCGGCUAACUUCGUGCCAGCAGCCGCGGUAAUACGAAGGGUGCAAGCGUUAAUCGGAAUUACUGGGCGUAAAGCGUGCGUAGGCGGUUUGUUAAGUCCGAUGUGAAAGCCCUGGGCUCAACCUGGGAAUGGCACUGGAUACUGGCAGGCUAGAAUGUGGUAGAGGGGUGCGGAAUUUCCGGUGUAGCGGUGAAAUGCGUAGAGAUCGGAAGGAACAUCCGUGGCGAAGGCGGCACCCUGGACCAACAUUGACGCUGAGGCACGAAAGCGUGGGGAGCAAACAGG
rnacentral:rRNA from 1 species